GUUUAGUACCAAGUUUUCCUUUGUGCUCUUCUUUACCCUCUUCAUAAAUUCCUCUUUCAGCUUUAUUGUGUUUUCCUCUGUUCAAAGCUUCAGAUCUUCUGCAAAAAGAUAUUCGGGGUUUUCGCUUGAUUAGCCUUUUCUUCCAUAAAGAUAAAAACAAACUAAGGACUAAUGACUUCUGACCAAAAGAACAAACAUGCCUGCUCAGCAAAGUCGGAAGCUGAGAUGAAACUUAGGCGACAUGAAGCGUAUAGAUUAAUAUCUGCCGGAAAAAAAAGAAGCAUUAUUACUACAACGACGAACAAAAAGACAAGAGUCAAAAAGAAGUAGUUUGUCGGACAAUGUUGGUUUCCACGGCACUAUUGAAGCUGCAUUUGAGUUUCAGCAACAAACUGUUCCUCUGGUGGGCUCUUGAGCAACAGGAUAACCGGAAUAAACUUGGAAGAACAGUUCCCAGUUUGAAGCUUGAGAUUUGAAAGGGUUGACCAAUAUUUGACUUAUUUGUAUAUGAUCUCGGAUUGGAAUCUUUAUGAUUUGGUUACCUCCGUUAGGUGAUUUG